rnacentral:lncRNA from 1 species
UUUUGGAACGUGACUCCUCAUGCUAUAAGUAAUAGAUCACUUUUCCACUUUAAUCCGUUCCAAAUGAAGGAAUCAUGCAGAUCUGAAAUCACAUUUCCAUUCCUUUCAAAAAUACUAAUGUCCAAACGUUGCGAAAGCGUGCUCCCUUAAAUCGAGAUCUCGACUUUAUAUGGUUAUGCAUAUUUUAAUGAGGACAUUAAUUUGGAAAGAAAC